rnacentral:lncRNA from 1 species
CCAUUGACAAUGAAGUCGUGGAGGAAAUUGAACCAACCGUCGCGUCGCGGGCCGGGGUGGGAGCCCACUGGCCCAGUGGCCAGCCAGGCAACCACCUUGCCCAGUGCGGCACCGGCUCGCCGCCACCACGAUCUGCCCCGGCGGCCUCACCGCCAUUCCUGCCGCUGGCGACGACCGCAGCAAGCAGUUUCUUCUCAACCAACCAACCCGCCCGGCACGCCCCCGCGCUUCGCCGUCGCAACGUAAGCUUCCCAGAUCCCUUUCGUUUCCGUCUGGACCGAGCUAGGCCACACUUCUACUCGUCCACAUUCUCUUCUCGGUUCCCACAUACUUUUCAAGUCAAACGAUUACAAAUCGGUUUAACCAACUCCGAUCAGCGAUCACAGCCGGAUUGUGCAAUCCCUGGAUGGCCGGAUCCACGAGCUUGCUAAAUAUGGGCACAUCCCCUCCUUUUCGCCCGCACGCGAGGCGUGGACCACCGGCGGAUCAAGCGUUCUUAAAACCCCGCAGUCCAGGAGCAACGCAACAAGCGGAAGAUGACAAGGGGAGUUGUUCGGCGGGAUGGGAGUUACUCGGCCGCGCGCCCGCCGCAUGUGCUGCUGCUGGUGGUUUUGUUCGGAGCGCGCUCUAGGUGUUCGAUGUAAUGGGUCGGAAGGUUAAUUAGCCGGCUGUUUGCGUCCUGAAGAUCCCGCGUCAGCGUCAGGAAUUCGAUGGAUAGUAAUCGACGCGGAAUCGUGGAAUUACGAAUCGGUGUGUGCGGUGUGGGUGUUGUUUAGCUCAUUAGGUGGGAUGUGGCUUUCAGAGAUUCCUGGUGUCGCCUUGGGGAAUAUUCAUGCUCCGUGGUGAUGGCUUAGUUCAGGUUUCGUGUAGUUGUUGUUCUCUUCAGGAGGGUUACCACCUGUUACACCAUCGAUCAAAAGUGUAAUUGAUUGUAGGUGCAUUGCAGUUCCACUAGACAGGUUAAUUUGCUUCAGAGUGCUCCUGAUGGAAAUAGUAUGGUCGGUGACUCGGUGAUCAAAAGUCUAGUUGUCUCAUGUUACAUUUGCAGUAAUUAGCUUUUUGACUGUUGUGUUUGGCGACAGGUUGUCGAAAAUGGGUAGAACAGUGGUUCCUGUGUGGUGGUCCUCUAGUGCAGUGCAGAUCAGCCAAUCCAAAGUUGCACUAGAUUAAGAAUCCACUUUUGUCCUAAAGGAUAAGGAGCCUUUCUGGAAGUGACAAGUGCUUAGAACUUUGACAGAGUAGUUGUUGUUAGAUCGGGUGGAGCUUUCAGUAUGCACUUGGACAAGUCCUUUUAGAAGUAUGUCCAGCCUUUAGAUUUAGCAUUUGGAUCGGUUUCCAUAUGAAAAGGUCUGUCCACUUGUUGUCAUCACAUUCCUAUGUAUGUGCGCAUGCUUAUUGUUUGAUGAUGCUACUCUUUCUGAACAUGGCUCCAAGGAUUCACAUUCUCUAUGGUUGCCUUGUACAUUUAAGGUUGCCUUAGUUAUACAGAGGUUUAGUGCUGCAUCUGGCCUGGGCUAGGAUUAAAGCUGUUCUCCUUGGCAUGUAUCAUCAAUUUGCCAGUGAUAUACUAUCACUACCAAGAUAAGGUUGCUGUGCUGUAAUGCACCUGCACUUCAUUUCUUAAGGCGAGAUACCUAAUUCGAACCCACUCUUCGAAUAGCAUUCAUUAGUCUUAAUUUGCUUCCAAGAUCUGAUACAUUACAUACACACUUAAUUUUUUUCCAAGAAUCCUAUGUGAAGGGAAAUUCAUUAGUCUUAAUUUGCUUCCAAGAUCUGAUACAUUACAUACACACUUAAUUUUUUCCAAGAAUCCAAUGUGAAGGGAAAUAAAGUUUGAUAGUAAUAUAUUCAAAUUUGUUUUUCAGGAAAAUGAAGUAUCUUCCGCUUUAUUGGAUACCAAGCAAAGGAUGCUAAAAAAUGUUAGCGUCAUCUAAAGAUGGGUACAGACUCUAUUUAAGAGUGUCGUAUCACCUUAUGUUGUCUACUGCCCAAUAGCCUAUCUUUAUCUAUGAACUUUAUCAUACCAUUAUUUUAGCUAAAUUCAAUAAGGUGGGAUCUAGAUUCUAGUUUACUACGUGCUCCCAGAUGAUAGAUACAAACUGUGCGAUCCAUGUCCACGACACACUGUCUUUGAUCUCUAGAUCGCUUCAGGCUUGCACAAUCAGGUAUAAUGUGGGACCUUGGCCUAUAGCUCAAAUGCUCAAUCGCUUAUCUUCACGCAGGGCAUAUUCAAAUUCCAACUUCUGCAUGGUUUUGUAUCAGGAUAUUUGCUCUGUAACACUGGAACCUCUGCAGUUUAGCAACCUGGCAUCUUUGGAAGAAAGAUGUUAUAUAUUCACAUCUGAGAAGACAGUGAAGUGUCAUUCUGGAAUUUGUUACUAUCCUGAUUGCCCAUGAUAGGAUGGCCGGUGAUUAAAAGUUUCUUUCUCUCCUUUCUAACAUUUGCAGUAAGUAGCCAUUUGAUUGUUAUGUUUGGGGACAGGUUGUUGAAUUUGGGUAGAACACUGUUCCUUUCUGGUGGUCUUUUGUGCAAUGCAAGCCUUCCAUCCUAAAGUUACACUAGAUUAAGAAUCUACUUUGACCUAAACUAUAAGAAGCCUUUCUGUAAGUGACAAGGGCUUUUGUUAUUUAUUAGCAGUUAGAACUUUGACGGAGUAGGUGUUAGAUCAGAUGGAGUUUUCAGUUGUCAUUUGGACAAAAGCUGAUAGGUCCUUUUAAAACUUGGAAGUAUCCCCAGGCCUUAGACCUAGCGUUUGGAUCUAUUUUUAUAUGAAAAGGUCAGUUAACUUGUUUUCGUCAUGUUCCUAUGUAGCAUGUAUGUGUACAUGCUUUUUUUUUAAUGAUGGUAUUCUUUCUGAAGAUGGCUGGAUUGAUUUCCUAUGGUUGCGCUGUACAUUUAAAAUUGCCCUAAUUAGAAGUUUGUUCCUUUCAAAAGUUUAGUUCUACGUCAGUUUAGAAACUUGGUCUGGGCUAAGGUUAUUGUGCUGUAAACUGUAAUGCACACACGCUUCUUCUCUUAAGGUGACAUUACUAUAAGGUAAUAGAUAGAUUAUGGGCUAACCCUAGAGGGUAGCUAUGUAGAUGUCUUACAUGGGCCUAUUGGGUCCUAAUACACAUAGUACACCAACACUCCCCCGCAGUCUGAACUACCGACGCAGCGGAGUUGCAGACUGGACAUGAAAAGAAAGGCACACACACAGCCCCCCCAAGACGCAACUAGCCACAGGUGAUGUUGAGGCUGGAGCGAAACUCGGUGAAGGCGGGUGACGAGAGGCCCUUGGUGAAGAUGUCAGCAAACUGAGAGGUGGUCGGGACGUGGAGGACCCGAACAUCGCCGAUGGCGACCCGAUCCCGGACGAAGUGAAGGUCAAUCUCCACAUGCUUGGUCCGCUGGUGCUGAACAGGGUUGGUGGAGAGGUACACCGCACUGACGUUGUCGCAGUAGACAAGAGUGCUCCGGGAAGAAGGAGUGUGGAGCUCGACAAGGAGCUGCCGAAGCCAGGAUGCCUCAGCCACGCCGUUAGCGACAGCGCGGUACUCCGCCUCGGCACUGGAGCGGGAGACCACCGGCUGACGCUUGGACGACCAGGACACCAGGUUGCCGCCCAAAAAGACGGCGUAGCCGGAGGUAGAGCGCCUAGUGUCCGGACACCCGGCCCAGUCAGCGUCGGUGUAGACAACAAGCUCAGUGGAGGGAGACCGGUGAAGAAGGAGGCCGUAGUCCACAGUGCCCCGGAGGUAACGGAGUAAGCGCUUCAGAGCAGUGAGAUGGGGCUCUCGGGGAUCAUGCAUGUGAAGGCAAAUCUGCUGAACUGCAUAAGUGAUAUCUGGCCUGGUGAAGGUGAGGUACUGAAGGGCCCCAGCCAGACUCCGGUAUGCAGUAGCAUCUGUCACAGGAGUGCCGGCGGCCUCUGACAACUUGGCCUGAGUAUCAACUGGAGUGGAGCAGGGCUUGCAGUCAGUCAUCCCAGCUCGCUCCAGGAUAUCAAGAGUAUACUGCCGCUGGUGAAGAAAGAGGCCGGCCUGACGAGGCUCAACAGUGACCCCAAGAAAAUGAUGGAGCACACCCAGAUCCUUCAUAGCGAACUCCUGCUGAAGCGAGGUGAUGAUCCGCCGUAGGAGGGACGGACUGGAGGCAGUGAGGACAAUGUCAUCAACAUAGAGCAGUAGAUAAGCAGUCUCAGCUCCAUGGUGAUAAAUGAACAGCGAAGUAUCGGACUUGGCCUCCACAAAGCCCAGCGUCAGGAGGUAGGCAGCAAACCUCGAAUACCAAGCUCGAGGGCCUGCUUGAGCCNNNNNNNNNNNNNNNNNNNNNNNNNNNNNNNNNNNNNNNNNNNNNNNNNNNNNNNNNNNNNNNNNNNNNNNNNNNNNNNNNNNNNNNNNNNNNNNNNNNNCUAAGAGUGUGCACAUCACCAUAUUUUGUCUACUGUCCAAUAGCCUAUCUUUACCUAUGAACUUCAUUCACAACAUUAGUUUAGCUAUGUUCAGUAAGGUGAGAUCUAAACUCGGAAGUCCACUGCAUGCUUCCAAAAUAGGGUAAUCUAUGUCCAUGCAUCCAUGGGACCUUGGCCUGUAGAUCAGCGGUUCAUCCUAAUAAAGAACAUGUUCAAAUCCCCAGCAGUACAUAUUUUUUUCUAGAACUAGUAGUACAUAAUUAUUUUUACCAGGAUAUUUCCUCUGUAACACUGGAAAUUCUGCUGUUUAUGAAACUGGUAUCUUUGAAAUACACAGGUUUGUUACCAUAAUUGUAAAGUGCCAUCCUUACAUAUGCAUGUUAACACAAGGGUGGAAUACAAUGUUAAGUAAACUGCUUUGUACUUGAGUGUUUGACUGUUUGUGUUGUUUGAUGUGCUGUGUAUUCUGUACGUAUGCACUGGGCCACUCGGGAGCCUUUUUUUCCUGCAUUUGCAUUCAUGUCACAAGUGCACACAAAGUAUUGUGUUAGAUUAGAUCACAUGAUGUUUUCAGUAUGUACUUGGACAAAAGCUCAUAGGUCCUUUUGGAAGUAUCCGAAGCCUUUUGAUUUAUGAUCAGGUUAGAUUUUCAUACGAAAAGUUCGGUCCACUUGUUUUGAUCACAUUGCCAUGUGUGUCCACACAUUCUUUGAAGAUACCAUAUUUGAACAUGGAUGGAAGAAUUUGCUGCAGUUUUGUGGUACAUUUAGGAAUUAGGAUUGCCUUAGACAGGGCCUUGUUCUGUAGAAAGGACAGUCUGUAUCAGGUUAAAAAUUUAGGCUAAGAUAAAGCUGUUCUUGACAUGCAUCAAUUGAUUGCCAGUGAUGUUAGUAAACUACAAAGACAAAGUCAGUGCGUGGUAAUGUGCAUGCACUUCUGUUCUUAAAGUGAGACUUAUGUUUUUAAUGUACUCAUUGAAUAUCAUUGGUAUUAAUUUGCUUCCAUUAUCUGAUAUUUGCAAGGUGUAACCAACUUUGUUUUGUAAGUCCACUGCAUGCUUCUAGAUGGUAGACAGGAAUUAAGGAAUUAAAGAAGCAAGUAGACUUGUUAUCUUUGGAAUAAAUAUGCAUCAUGUUCACAUUAUCUUAAAGUGUCAUCUUAAAUUUAUGUGUUAACACAAGGUAGGAAUUCUAUGUUAACAAAACUGCCUUGGACCGGAAGUCAGGAAUUUUGUUAGCUGCAAUCUUGUAUAGCAGAGUGCUUGUGUCGUUUAAUGUACGCGUCAUGUUGAGGUUAGAUUUGGCUGCUGAGCCUGUUCUUUUUGCAGUUUACACUGAUGUAUUAAGUGUGCACAAAUAAUCAUGUGCCAGUUGGCCUCUAGGUGAAAGUUUUCAAUGGUACUUAACAUCUGAACCUGAUUUGUAAGACCUCUAUCUAACUUCAUGCUAUUAACCUGUCGUAGCUCUUUGAAAAGUGGUAGUUUACCUACAAAGAACAAUUUAGCCUAUGUAAAAAUCAAUUGCAGUUGUCUAAAAAGUUAUAAUGGCUAAUAAGUACUAGUCUGGUGUACCAUGUGACAGCCUAAUCUGUUAACUGCAAAUCUCCAUGCAACCAGUCCUGGUAGCAAGAUGGAAACAGUUAAGUGGGCCAAGUCCAAUAGGCCGACAGAUUCUACUGAUCAAUUCAGCCCACUAGAUGAUCCUACAAGCUUGCAAGUGUCUGCCACCUAAAGAAUUCUGGUUCUCACUUCAUGCCUGAGGAGAACAUCUGUUUUCUCAUGGAACCUUCUGAUCCAUUUGGCAAUUCUUUCUUGCGAUCUGAAAAGAAACAAUUGUGGCUUCUUUCUCUCUGUUGGAUGUCUGGUGUUUUACUUCUUAAAUUCUGUGGCUGUACUCGAUGCAGGUCAAGCCUGUUGGUCCAAGUAAUAAUGUCAUUGUGGAACAUAAUUCUAACAAUUGAUCGACAAUAUUAAAGAUCUAAUAUAAUCCUGAUGAUAGAAAUUUCAGUGUGAACUGUAUCACUAUUGGUUGCAUCCAUGCGACUACAAGCAAGAUUUCAUGCUAAGAAGCUGGAUGCAUUGCGCAAUCAAUUUUUUUUCUCAGGUUAUAUCUGUGUUAGCACGCAUCGUGGCUUGAUAAAUGGCUGAUCUUUGAAAUGAUCUCUACAUUUUGCCUUUUGUUUGUUCUGAUAUGGUUCGCCGAUUUGUCCAUUUUACUGUGAUACAUAGACCAGGGCCUGUUUGGCCAGGCUUCGGUUAGCUCCAGCUCCUCCUGCAUGUGCACUGUAGCAGUAUUGUGUGUCAUUGUUGCAUGGAGCUAUUCUUCUUUCUCAGUUUCUCCUGGCCAAAAUGAAUUAGGAAAAGUUAGGAGCCGGUGAAGCCACAUUUUUGGGCUUCACGGGCUCCGGCUCUUGGGGUUCUACAGUAACGCUAGAUUAUUGAAGCUGGAGCACCAGCCAUACCAUAGAGGGGCCUAAUGGAAAGCAUACUAGCUGUGUAACGUACUGUCUUGUCUUAACCUUAUCAGUUUGAGCACCAUCUUAUUCUGAUUGCCAUUUAUGUCUGAAGGUAGUUGAUGGCCAUGCUUGGCUCACAACAAUUUUGUUGGACUGGUAAAGACUAAGUAAACCAUGGCGCAUUCGAUCAGGUAUGCAUCUCCUGAUUCCUUCCCUUCAUCUAAAUGGCAGGAUGGGCGUAUACUGUGAACUCUAUUUUUGGCCUUUUAAGUUUUCCCAAUUGGAAGGUCUGCCUCUGUAAAUUUAGAGAAAUUAAUGAACCCUAUCAAUCUAAAAAAUAGAACUUUUUUCAAAAUCACAUCAUGUAUCCAACCUUCUUGUAAUUAGGUGUGUAGAUUAAAUGUCAUUGGACUAGAUUGUUAAAUACAUAAUAUUAGUAUAUUACAUGCUAUUUCCUCUGCACGCUGAACUGGGAAGUGGACCCUAUCCCUUUUCUAGGAAAGUAUGUUGUAGGAAAAAUCCUCACGGAUAGAUGCUUGUGAGGUUGAAUGAUGUUGUUUUCCUCAGUCCUCAGCAUUGAUGUAUAUGUAAACAGUAAACCAAACUUCUUUCUUCUUGACAUCAAUUUAACAUAGCUCUAGUUUUGAUCUUGCAGAACUUGUAGAUGUAACCAUACUUAUUGUUAUCAAUUUCACAUAACUGUAAUUGUAGGUUCCUUGUCAUCAUUGUUUGAUUCGUGAUCCACUAAUUUACUGGUUCUAUAUUAUACACCAUAGUCACGUUAGCCUUAUUCUUCUGUGCACGAGAGAGUUCAUGCCACUAAUAGUGGACCUUGUGCCCUUAAUUGCCUCUAUAAUAAGCAUCUGCUAGCAUUUUGAUUGACCGCUACAAAGUACUGUGAUAUGCUAGCUUGAUUAAUGGAAAUUUUCAGCACUACUUGGCCAUGGCGCACACGCCACAAAGUAAUGCGAUACCCUGAACAGUUUGCCCACUUGCUAAAGUAAUCUGAUUGUCAAGUUGACAGUUUGUUUCUUUCCUACAAUCGACCAAUGCAAGCUGGGGAUGGAAUUCCUUUUGUUGCCAACUCCCAAGAAACUGAAUUUCAGCCGAUUUUUCUUUGCCACUACUAGCAUCCAUGAUCCAUGGCAUAGGAUUCGUGUUGUUCAGCAUCGUCUUUUUCAGCCGGCAGGAUAUGGGAGAAGGGGAUCAGCUGACUGUAUAGUAAGAGGCUGCUUGGUUGGUGGCCAUCGCCAACCAGUGGCGUGCCACAAUAUGUGGUGGCAAAAAUCUGCGCCGAAGGUUUGGUGGCCGUGGCGAGAAAAACAAUUGCAGUAUCAAUGGAGAGUUGUGGCGUGCCAAAAAUAAGUAAUCAAUCAAACACCUUCCUAAAUUAUUGUGACCGCCAAAGUUGUAGCGUGGAUAGUUGUGGUUGGAAACCAAACAUACCCUAAACGCUUGAAGAGGCACAGUUUCUCAAGAGGGCAAGUUGGUUUUACAGCAUUGCCUCACACAUGGUAUCCAUGGUUAUGCUUAAAAGUUACUAGUAUCGGAUUUAAACACUUGAAACUAUGCUGAAAUUGAUGGAUCCUGUAACAUCAUCGCCGGCAAGAAACAUGUAAUUUGACCCCUCUUCUUUUGGACAAAAUGUAAUUUGAAAUCUGAACACGAUAACUAGAAAACAUGUAACGGGGAAGUGGUCUUGCGACUUGCGUCGUGGUGGCCUGGUGGGCUGAUGGCCUCGUUCGUUCAUGCGCUUGUACUGCUGCGGCGGCGGCCAAAGUUGGCACACCCAAUUUUCCAGAUGAUCAUUGGUUAAUCGUGCUCUAGUCCGGUGCCUUACAGCAGAGGGCUAAAGACGCCACCGUCAGAGCCGCACUUACUACCGUUGCUACUGGCCUCUAAUGGUGGUCGUGGCACCCAAUUUGCAUCGGCAUCAUGUCAGUCGCCGAGAGAACAUUUUGUUUUGCGCGUGUGAGGGUAAUCACUUUUUAGGCAGGAUUUGAUUUGAAUCUUUC